rnacentral:rRNA from 1 species
CCUACUGGUGGCAGCAGUGGGGAAUAUUGGUCAAUGGGCGCAAGCCUGACCCAGCAACGCCGCGUGAAGGAAGAAGGCUUUCGGGUUUUAAACUUCUUUUAAGAGGGAAGAGAAGAAGACGGUACCUCUUGAAUAAGCCACGGCUAACUACGUGCCAGCAGCCGCCGUAAUACGUAGGUGGCAAGCGUUGUCCGGAUUUACUGGGUGUAAAGGGCGUGCAGCCGGGCUGACAAGUCAGAUGUGAAAUCCCGCGGCCCAACCGCGGAACUGCAUUUGAAACUGUCAGUCUUGAGUACCGGAGAGGUAAUCGGAAUUCCCUGUGUAGCGGUGAAAUGCGUAGAUAUAGGGAAGAACACCAGUGGCGAAGGCAGAUGACUGGACGGCAACUGACGGUGAGGCGCGAAAGCGUGGGGAGCGAACAGGAUUAGAUACCCCUGUAGUC